rnacentral:rRNA from 1 species
CGGCCACACUGGGACUGAAACACGGCCCAGACUCCUACGGGAGGCAGCAGUGGGGAAUAUUGCACAAUGGGCGCAAGCCUGAUGCAGCGACGCCGCGUGAGGGAUGACGGCCUUCGGGUUGUAAACCUCUUUCAGCAGGGAAGAAGCGCAAGUGACGGUACCUGCAGAAGAAGCGCCGGCUAACUACGUGCCAGCAGCCGCGGUAAUACGUAGGGCGCGAGCGUUGUCAGGAAUUAUUGGGCGUAAAGAGCUCGUAGGCGGCUUGUCGCGUCAGUUGUGAAAGCCCGGGGCUUAACCCCGGGUCUGCAGUCGAUACGGGCAGGCUAGAGUUCGGUAGGGGAGAUCGGAAUUCCUGGUGUAGCGGUGAAAUGCGCAGAUAUCAGGAGGAACACCGGUGGCGAAGGCGGAUCUCUGGGCCGAUACUGACGCUGAGGAGCGAAAGCGUGGGGAGCGAACAGGAUUAGAUACCCUGGUAGUCCACGCCGUAAACGGUGGGCACUAGGUGUGGGCAACAUUCCACGUUGUCCGUGCCGCAGCUAACGCAUUAAGUGCCCCGCCUGGGGAGUACGGCCGCAAGGCUAAAACUCAAAGGAAUUGACGGGGGCCCGCACAAGCGGCGGAGCAUGUGGCUUAAUUCGACGCAACGCGCAGAACCUUACCAAUGCUUGACAUACACCGGACAGCAUCAGAGAUGGUGCCCCCCUUGUGGUC